ACUUCUCCAGGUCUGACUGAGUCAUGGUCGUUUGAGUCAAUGACUGCCGAGGAUCUUUCUGUGGGGUGGUCCCAAUCUGGCUCCGCCUUUUGGCCAGGUCAUCUUUCUCUACAUUAGGUCUGACUGAGUGAUGGAAGACUGGACCAAUGACUGAUGGGAAUCUCUGGGUGGGCGUGGCCCCCCUCCAGACCGCCUCUUCGCCAGAUCGUCUUUCUGAAGGAUUCAGGAAAGGAUUGUCCUUACGAGUUAUGAUUGACGCCUCAGGGGAGGCGGAGUCAGCCUGACUGGGGUAGAAAUAUAACAUCAAAUGAAACGCACCAAACACGCUCCCACAAUGAAACACACAGAACGGCAACAACAUUGACAUCCAGAAUGACCACAGACAGAAAAGAUCAGGAAAAGAGAAAGGAAUGAAUCAGUGAUAAAGUCAGAUGUGUAUCUAAAAUAAAUAAUACCAUAAUAAUCUUAAAGGUUACAUCAUAAAGGAUACACCAACCAUAGCAAGUCAUGUUUGGUGAAUAUAUGUUUGGAAAAACAAGUGUCAAUACAAUUUUUGCCAAUCUGCUUCAGAAAAAAACAGGUCUGUGCGUUGGCUUUGGAAUGAC